rnacentral:rRNA from 1 species
UACGUAGGGGGGCUAGCGUUGUCCGGAAUCAUUGGGCGUAAAGAGCGUGUAGGCGGCCCGGUAAGUCCGCUGUGAAAGUCGGGGGCUCAACCCUCGAAUGCCGGUGGAUACUGUCGGGCUAGAGUGCGGAAGAGGCGAGUGGAAUUCCUGGUGUAGCGGUGAAAUGCGCAGAUAUCAGGAGGAACACCGAUUGCGAAGGCAGCUCGCUGGGACGUAACUGACGCUGAGACGCGAAAGCGUGGGGAGCAAACAGG